UGCGUAGGCGGUUUUCUAAGUCAGGUGUGAAAUCUUCCGGCUCAACCGGAAAACUGCGCCUGAGACUGGAUAACUUGAGUGAGGUAGGGUGUGUGGAACUUCCGGUGGAGCGGUGAAAUGUGUAGAGAUCGGAAGGAACGCCAGCAGCGAAAGCGGCACACUGGGCCUUUUCUGACGCUGAGGCACGAAAGCUAGGGGAGUGAACG
rnacentral:rRNA from 1 species